CUAAUAGAUAACUAGGGUUCCGGUGAAUUUACUUCACGUCUGGUCCGAGAGUUGUCAACCUCAUGAGUAGAGGUCACACGGAGGGAUAAAAACCCGGGAGGU
rnacentral:sRNA from 12 species